rnacentral:rRNA from 1 species
GAUAAACGCUGGCGGCGUGCAUGAGACAUGCAAGUCGAACGAAGGAUCGGGCUUGCUCGAUCCUUAGUGGCGGACGGCUGCGUAACGCGUAGGUGACCUACCCCGAAGUGGGGAAUAACUGCCCGAAAGGGUGGCUAAUACCGCAUGUGGUCGCACGUUCAUUCGUGCGAGUAAAGCCGCAAGGCGCUUCGGGAGGGGCCUGCGUCCGAUUAGCUCGUUGGUGGGGUAAUGGCUUACCAAGGCGACGAUCGGUAGGUGGUCUGAGAGGACGAUCACCCAGACUGGGACUGAGACACGGCCCAGACUCCUACGGGAGGCAGCAGUCGGGAAUUUUGCUCAAUGGGGGAAACCCUGAAGCAGCAACGCCGCGUGAGGGAUGAAGGCCUUCGGGUUGUAAACCUCUUUUGUCAGGGACGAUGAUGACGGUACCUGGCGAAUAAGCCACGGCUAACUACGUG